rnacentral:rRNA from 1 species
AGCCAUGCAUGUCUAAGUACAAACUUUUACACGGUGAAACCGCGAAUGGCUCAUUAAAUCAGUUAUGGUUUAUUAGAUGGUGCUAUCCUACUUGGAUAACUGUGGUAAUUCUAGAGCUAAUACAUGCGACAAAGCUCCGACCCUCGUUGGAAAGAGCGCUUUUAUUAGAUCAAGACCAACCGGUACCGCCUUCGGGUGUGCCGUCGGAUUGAUGACUCUGGAUAACCUUUGCCGAUCGUAUGGCCCCGAGCCGACGACGCAUCUUUCAAAUGUCUGCCCUAUCAACUUUCGUUGGUAGGUGAUUUGCCUACCAAGGUGUUUACGGGUAACGGGGGAUCAGGGUUCGGUCCCGGAGAGGGAGCAUGAGAAACGGCUACCACAUCCAAGGAAGGCAGCAGGCGCGCAAAUUACCCACUCUUAGCACGAGGAGGUAGUGACGAAAAAUAACAAUACGGGACUCUUUCGAGGCCCCGUAAUUGGAAUGAGUACACUCUAAACCCGUUAACGAGGAUCUAUUGGAGGGCAAGUCUGGUGCCAGCAGCCGCGGUAAUUCCAGCUCCAAUAGCGUAUAUUAAAGCUGUUGCAGUUAAAAAGCUCGUAGUCGGAUUUCGGGCGGCGGCCAAUGGUUCGGUUCCGUGCCGAUACUGCUGGUCGCGGCCUCCACGCCGGUCGUCCUUCGGUGCUCUUAACUGAGUGCCUUAGGUAGCCGGAGCGUUUACUUUGAAAAAAUUAGAGUGUUCAAGGCAGGCCUCGAGCCUGAAUGAUGGUGCAUGGAAUAAUGGAAUAGGACCUCGGUUCUAUUUUGUUGGUCUUCGGAACUGGAGGUAAUGAUUAAUAGGGACGGACGGGGGCAUUCGUAUUGCGGCGUUAGAGGUGAAAUUCUUGGAUCGUCGCAAGACGGACUACUGCGAAAGCAUUUGCCAAGAAUGUUUUCAUUGAUCAAGAGCGAAAGUCAGAGGAUCGAAGACGAUCAGAUCCCGUCCUAGUUCUGACCAUAAACGAUGCCAACUAGCGAUCCGGCUCCGUUGCUUUAUAAGACUGGCCGGGCAGCUCCCGGGAAACCAAAGUCUAUGGGUUCCGGGGGAAGUAUGGUUGCAAAGCUGAAACUUAAAGGAAUUGACGGAAGGGCACCACCAGGAGUGGAGCCUGCGGCUUAAUUUGACUCAACACGGGAAAACUCACCCGGCCCGGACACCGUAAGGAUUGACAGAUUGAAAGCUCUUUCUUGAUUCGGUGGGUGGUGGUGCAUGGCCGUUCUUAGUUGGUGGAGCGAUUUGUCUGGUUAAUUCCGAUAACGAACGAGACUCUAGCC